CAGCAGCCACGGUAAUGCGAAGGGGGCUAGCGUUGUUCGGAUUUACUGGGCGUAAAGGGCGCGUAGGCGGACUGAUAAGUCAGGGGUGAAAUCCCAAGGCUCAACCUUGGAACUGCCUUUGAUACUGUUUGUCUUGAGUUCGAGAGAGGUAAGUGGAACUGCGAGUGUAGAGGUGAAAUUCGUAGAUAUUCGCAAGAACACCAGUGGCGAAGGCGGCUUACUGGCUCGAAACUGACGCUGAGGCGCGAAAGCGUGGGGAGCAAACAGGAUUAGAUACCCCCGUAGUCCCUGUCUCUUAUAC
rnacentral:rRNA from 1 species